AAUUACUCUGUACAAAAUGACAAUGGUGGAUAGAUGUAGUUGCACAUUUGUAAAAUUCACAGGAAGCAUAAUACUGAGAGCAAAGCCUAUGAUGAACUAUGAACUCCAGGCUACACGAAUGUGCAACACAGGCUAUUGAUUUUAAAGUACCACUUUCAUCAGGGAUACUAAUAAAUUGGGAAGGAUAAGCAUAUGUAGGGGUCCGGAGAAUUUUAAUCUAUGAAAAAAUGGGCUUUAGUCAACUACAAUAGUCAAUGGACAUUUUCGUUUGUACAUGGAAAUCAACAUUUAGGUGCAAGGAAUUUUUUUAAUUAAAUCUAAUUUUCAAUGUGUGUGCCAAAAUAAACUUCCUUGUAGCCUACCUUUCAUCCAAUACAAUGCAGAUUUUCUAAGCUCCUAUCUGAGCAUUUAUCUAGACUCACACCCUCCCCUUAGGUCAUAUGAUCUUGGUUCAAGAGUUUUUUGGGACACAGACUGGACCUAGAGCUCAGCUCUUAAGCCUCUAGAUAAAUAUCUUCAGAGUAUUUCCCCUUAACCCCCAAGGACUGUAGUUGAGAACAGAAUGAGACAGGCAAGCACUGCUUACUAGCCAAGGUACAUCCUGGGAGAUGGGUCAUGAAAGGUAUUUGUCACAGGGCAAAGAUUCUAGAAUAAACUUGUAAAACCUGAUAUCUAGGUCAAGCUACCAGAUGGCUUCUUGAUUGUAUCAAGAGACUUUAAACACACCAUGUAUGAGCUUGCUGCUGACAUACAUUGUGUUUUAUCUACAGUGAAUAUUUCAACAAGAGGGUAAUACUUAUUGUAUCUACUGAAUUUUGACACACCAUUGGUAGCAUGGCAUGUUUGCUUACACAAGUAUCAGACAUGUGUGUGAAACACUGUUAUAUUAGGCUGUCUGCUACAUCUCUGGCAGUGGUGACUUUUCGGUUCCAUUAGUCUCCUUUAGAGUGUUGUCAUCCAUGAGGCCCAUCAUAUAUGGAAACACUGAUGUGUGGUAUAUGAUAGAAUGAUUUAGUUGGCCCUUGUCACAAUCAUACUUCAGGAAAUAUAUCCUGACCUGACAUUGGUUCUUCUAUUUGUGAUUUUAAACCCUGAAAUGUGAAGUAAAGCAACUAGUACUGUAAUGGAGAAAAGUAUCCGAAGGGAAAGGGGCCAAGGAUUACCCCUCUAGAGAAAUCCAUUCUAAAAUUAUCAGCUCUUCCAGGACAAUUAGCAGUCACUCUGUCUCCUCACUUCUGUCCAGGGUUUCAUGGAGUGUUUUCCAAUUAAUUGGACAAUUAUAGCAUUGGCUACAGUUUUUUUUAAUCCUUUAACUCAUUUAUAUACGAAGUUGAAGAUACUUUCCCAACUCUAUAAUACCCUCUAAAAUGCUUAAAUCUAAAAUGAAAUAGGAGAAAUACAGCUCUAACACUUAGCAACUGACAAUCAGUCAACAGAUGAGCACGUAUCAAUAAAAGAUGUAUAAACCAGGAUGCCAAUGGGACGUUAUAGUCUUCACCUGCAGAAGGAGGUAUGUGUAAGUGAGCAUGUGAAAAUGAUCUUGUAUUUCAUGAUUACUUAGAGAACUAAAGGGAAGAUAGAGAAUAAAGCUCUGAUACCACUGAUAAGGAGCACAGUGUGUCACACAACACCACCUCUCUAGCCUACACUGAACAUGCAUCAGAACCAAGGUAUUAAAUUAGAAAAGAACAAAAUUGAGGAACACAUCCCAAACAUUGAAACUCUAUCUCUAGAGAUAUAUGAAAUGACACUAGGGAUUUCAUUUUGUUCUCUGUAGCCAAAGGGGGUCCGUUGUAAGAUAUAUUUAUGUUUUCUUUUCCUACAUUUGGUUUUCACAUUUUGAGGAGUACAUUGCAUUAUAUAUUGAGGACUGUUGGUAGCUCUGCUUUGCCAUAUUUUACCAUGCUCUGGUCAUAGGCCUGUCACUAAGCCUGAUAGCAAGGCAGAGGAUUAUGUGCAGUUUGUCUGGGUCUAGCUUCAUAAUUACACCCAUGGCC
rnacentral:lncRNA from 1 species